rnacentral:piRNA from 1 species
CAGAGAACAGAAACUGGAAAGGCAGUC